UACGUAGAGCGCAAGCGUUAUCCGGAAUUAUUGGGCGUAAAGAGCUCGUAGGCGGUUUGUCGCGUCUAUCGUGAAAGUCCGAGGCUCAACCUCGGAUCUGCGGUGGGUACGGGCAGACUUGAGUGAUGUAGGGGAGACUGGAAUUCCUGGUGUAGCGGUGAAAUGCGCAGAUAUCAGGAGGAACACCGAUGGCGAAGGCAGGUCUCUGGGCAUUAACUGACGCUGAGGAGCGAAAGCAUGGGGAGCGAACAGG
rnacentral:rRNA from 1 species